GGGUAUGAUCAUACCAGCACUAAUGAACAGGAUCCCAUCAGAACUUCGAAGUAAGCACGCUUGGGCGAGAAUAGUACAAAUAUGGGCUUGUCACCUGACUUUCAUGGACACAGGCU
rfam:Cephalotus follicularis DNA, scaffold: scaffold5624, isolate: St1.